UUUGACCUCGGAUCAGGUAGGGUUACCCGCUGAACUUAAGCAUAUCAAUAAGCGGAGGAAAAGAAACCAACAGGGAUUGCCUCAGUAACGGCGAGUGAAGCGGCAACAGCUCAAAUUUGAAAUCU
rnacentral:rRNA from 1 species